rnacentral:misc_RNA from 1 species
GUAAUAUGCAUUUGAUUUAGAAUUUUAAGUUUUCUAAUUAUUGUGUUUGGAAAUACAAUUAAAAAGUUAUAAUCUCAAUCUGGGUUGAGAUUUGGAUACUAAUUAUGUGAGAUGGAAAUAAGCAAACAUAACAUUAUUUAGCAAGUCUGGUAAAACCAUGACUAUCCUUUAGGUUGCUGCAAGUCUUACUAAAUUUGGCCACUAAUUAAUUUAUAGUCCACAAUCAAAAUUGUAAUCAUGUAAAUCAUGUGGAAGAAACUUUGAACUCAAUGUGUAUUCUGAUAGGAUCUAUGUUUAUUCUGAUUUUUAUGAACUUCUAACUGCAUAUGCUG